UACGAAGGGGGCUAGCGUUGUUCGGAAUUACUGGGCGUAAAGCGUGCGCAGGCGGCCUUCCAAGUCAGGGGUGAAAGCCCAGAGCUCAACUCUGGAAUUGCCUUUGAGACUGUGAGGCUUGAGUACGGGAGAGGUGAGUGGAAUUCCCAGUGUAGAGGUGAAAUUCGUAGAUAUUGGGAAGAACACCGGUGGCGAAGGCGGCUCACUGGCCCGAAACUGACGCUCAUGCGCGAAAGCGUGGGGAUCAAACAGG
rnacentral:rRNA from 1 species